CCGGCCCGCACAGUGAUUAAAAUCUAACGCACCCACAAGGUAGCUAUGCGAGUGUUUGGCCGAUACAAGUACACUAUUUUCUGGAAGUUUCUAAAUAACUUAUUAUAAAUAGUGUUUAGCGACGCAUUGGUUUGUCUGUCCGCUCUGUGUCACGUUAAACUGUGAAGCUUAAGAAAAGUGUCGUUUGCCUUUCAUACGAGCUUGUGCACCUCUAAUGAAGUACCUGCUGUUAGACGAUGAGCUAAUUGUUUGAGGAUAAGAAGAUAGCUUUCGUAAGGAGGACACGUUGCAGAAAUGAAAACCCACGAUGGAUAUCCCUCUAAAAGAAGCUGAAAUAAGUGCAAAAUGAGGAGCAGAAAAAGAUGUUGGUGACUCGCUUACACUCUCUCAAUGACCAGAAACAUCCCCAAGGACCCCAAGGUGGUCUGCAAGGAGGGUCUUUAGCUGGUUGAACAGCAUUCAAUAACAACAUGGACGAAUCAUGGCAUCGAUGCUUCACAGCGAUGCCCAUCCUUGGCUCUGUGCCCGAUGCCAGCACACCUCGCGGGACCAAUGACACCAUCCUCCGGACCUAGAGAGUACCCCGGACAGCAACUCAAACCAGUUGGACCCUUUAAAGCUUGUGGGUGAACCAGCAUUUAUCCUCCCUCCAGAGUGACUCUUGCCGGGAAGGAAACUUAAACAGAGCUCAGUCUCUGCGCUUGACAGACUGCCUGUUCUCGAGGCCCAUGUCCUACUGACAACAGCAACGUUUCGCAAUGGAGAAAAACCUGACCUGAUCGGCUUCUCCACCGUUAUCACGGAUGGGAUCAGACUAACGAAAGACUCUCAUCGAGAUGCGUUGCUCCCUCACCAGGCCCGUGACUCUCUGGCUGCUCAGCUGGACAUCCAGAGGCGAGGAUCUCUCAGUUGCUGCCUGAACUGCAGGAGAGCCGUCUGGAUCUCCAAAGGAGCAGAAUCACAUGGAGCAGACCCAAAAGAAGCUUUAAAGCCAGAUGCAGCAGGCCCAGGAGCUCCAAAGUCAGAUGCAGUUAGUCACCAUCAGGCAUCAGGUACAGAUGGAGGCUGAGAAAGAGGCAUUAAUGGAAGGUCAAGAAGUCUCCCUUGGCUACCUGUGGCAGUCAACUUCAGACUGAAGAGACGAUCCAGCUGCUACAUGCAGAGUUGUACAACAUGGCUGCUUCAAUCAGCAGGUACAAUGCUUCCAACUGCUCAGCCCUCAGCCAACAGAACCUCACAGUGAUUUUACAAGGAGGAGGCGAAGAGGCAGAACGAAGAACAGAUUUUCUGAGCUACAGGUGUGGAGAUACACCAGCAGAAGACACUGGUGCAGGAUGAAAGUCUAAGGUGGAGGUUCUGUGUUGGGUCAGAUGGCCCUCGAGUCCACACAAUGCUUUUCAGCAUCAGUCAGUUGGUUCUGGAUAAGGGUCUGGAAGCUCAGCAGAUUGAGGUCAGGAGAUUGAAAGCUGAGAUUCAGGAGAAGAGAAGAUGAUCCAGCUACUGUAUAUCGACGGGCCUUAGUGACACAGCAGCAGCUGGAAACCUGCUCAGUCCACCGGACUGCUGUGAGUAUUUUGGGUUGACAACUUACAACAUUUGAGUCAUUUGCAAUCAAGAAUUACCCUUCAGAGGAGUAAGAGGAUUCCUUAAAGAGAGUGUUUCUGCAGGAUCAGGAGAGCACCACCUGGACUUCAGCUUGUAGGGUGACAGUGAACUUUGAAACCCAGAGACUGGCUUUAUUAAUAAGCACUUCAACAGAUUGUUGACAUGUAUCUGUGAAUGAAAGGUUGAGUGUUUCUUUUCGUCUGUUACAACAAAAGGUGUCAAGUUGUUUCUGUAAAGGUCACUUAAAGUUCUUGUUUUGUGUCUUAUUCUAGUCACAUUUAAUGGUUAAUAUGUCAGUGUGUUUUCAUGUCAGGAUGUGACAUAAUGUGUAUAGCCAAGCUUAAAAAAAGCACACAAUUUAAUUAAAAAUAUUAAACUGUGUUAGAUAUUCAGAAACUACAGUGAAAUAUUUUUUAUCAGUUUUUGUAUCCUGAUAUUUGUACUGUUGUUUUUUCUAGUUAAAAUAUCGUAAAUAUCAUCAUUGUUUCAUUUCUUUUGUUUUCAGUACUUGCAUGCUGAACUAAUGAUGGGUUUAAAGGGAACGUAAAUCAAAUUUUCAUGAUCAAGUUUCUGUAUGUUGAUUUCAACAAAAGAAAAGUGGAGUUCUUGAUGUGCUUGGAGUCGCAUACGGUAACUACUCCUCAAGCCAUGGAAUCCACAAGCCAAUGUAGCCAAAGUCUUAAUGAAUAUGGGCAGAGAGACAAGAAAUUGCAGCCAAAUAAAAGAAUAAUAAAGGCAUC